CCUACGGGCGGCCGCAGUGAGGAAUAUUGGUCAAUGGACGAGAGUCUGAACCAGCCAAGUAGCGUGAAGGCUGCCUGCCCUCUUGGUUGUCCCCUUCUUUUCUCACGGAAUAAAACGAGGCACGUGUGCCUUUUUGCAUGUACUUUAUGAAUAAGGAUCGGCUAACUCCGUGCCAGCAGCCGCGGUAAUACGGAGGAUCCGCGCGUUAUCCGGAUUUAUUGGGUUUAAAGGGAGCGUAGAUGGGUUGUUCAGUCAGUUGUGAAAGUUUGCGGCUCAACCGUCAAAUUGCAAUUGAUACUGGCAGUCUUGAGUACAGUUGAGGUAGGCGGAAUUCGUGGUGUAGCGGUGAAAUGCUUAGAUAUCACGAAGAACCCCGAUUGCGAAGGCAGCUUACUAAACUGUGACUGACAUUGAUGCUCGAAAGUGUGGGUAUCAAACAGGAUUAGAUACCCCUGUAGUC
rnacentral:rRNA from 1 species